GGCACGGGCGAGCAAAGGACGAGCCAGCUCAUUACUGUAGCAUUUGUGAGGUGGAAGUCUUUGAUCUGCUUUUUGUCACUAGUGAGAGCAAUUCUCGAAAGACCUAUGUCGUACAUUGCCAAGACUGUGCAAGAAAGAUAAGCACGAACCUGGAAAAUUUUGUGGUGCUAGAACAGUACAAAAUGGAGGACUUGAUGCAAGUCUAUGAUCAAUUUACAUUAAGAUCACCUGAAGACCAUAACUGGAUCAGAUGGAGAUGGGAAGAAUCAGGACAGUGAAGCUUGGAGAAACUAGCACCAGGUUCAAGAGCAUCUCUAAUACAUUGGUUGUGGUAUGAAGUCAGUAUAGCAGCAGAGCAUCCUAUGCACUCAGACCCCUUCUUUCCCCUUCUUUUUCCCCACCCAUCCCCUCCCAAAUCAGCACUGUCCUUCUGCUUAGCAAGUGGAUGCUCUCAAACAGUUCUGUCUUUUGGCUUGGGGCCUCCUUUGCAUUUCAAUUUAAAGCAAAAAGCCUCUUUGCCAUUAUAGCUUUCUGCUAUAUAUGGCAGCCUCCUGCUUUGAACUGUGUCAGCACAACUGUCUUAACAUUUCACCCAGGUUUCAUUGUUUCAGGCAAAGAUGUUUGUAAUCACAAUGAAAGCGAUGCUGGAUUUUGUUCAUAAGCCUUGCCUUUCUGUCAGAGGAAACAAACGUUGGACUAAGUGUUACAAGAAUUUCAUGUCAAAUUAAAUACAACAGCCCAGAAGUGGCUGUGUCUUUUAAUUCAUUUCCAGGCGCUGCAUAAAAUGCUCCUCCAUUGCCAUCCUCCUCAUCUUGACAUUUUUUCAUGGACAUUAAAUGAAAACUUUUCUGAUAUUCAGGAAGUGACCCAGUUCUGCACCACUGAUUUUUGUAGCUAUCCCGUAAGGCUGCUGGCUGAAAGCUGUGUCUAUGCAACCUUCCAAGUGCGGAGUGUCAACCAACUGGACAGGAGAGAGCACUGCCUCCUACUCCAGAACUCAAAACAAAUAAAGCUCAUCCAGCUGUACUUCAAAAAAAAUAAUUCCAUGUUUUGUAUAUAUCUGACAAAACUGGCAACAUUAUACAGACUACUGACUUGAAGACCACCUCUUUUGUAUUUCUCUGUUUCUGGGCUGAUGAGUUGGUUUCAUCCAUUUUUCCCCUUCAGAAUUUUCCUUGGAAAAAGUACUAGCUUAGCUGGUCAUUUCUUUGUAAGGUAGUUAGAAAUUUUAAGUCUUUCUUUGGGCAACUUUUUUUUUUUUUUUUUUUUUUUUAAUGUGAAGAGUUAGGUGAUAUAAAUUUUUUUACUGCUUUUAUGUUUUUCUGUCUUGUUUUGAAACCAUAACGGUUACACUUUUGGUUCCUAAAUAAAAUUUAAAACAAUUAACAGCCAAGUCACAAAGAUAAAUGGGUUGCACAUAGACUAAGGAAUAAACUUCAGAUUUGUGAUUUUUGUUUCUAAUCUUGAUGUAAAUUUACACUAUUUAUAAAUACAUAUUUAUUGCUUGAAAAUAUUUGUGAAUGGAAUGCUGUUAUUUUUUCCAGAUUACCUGCCAUUGAAAUUUUAAGGAGUUCUGUAAUUUCAAACACUACUCCUAUUACAUUUUCUAUAUGUAAAUAAAACUGCUUAGCAUUGUACAGAAACUUUUAUUAAAAUUGUUUAAUGUUUAAAGUUUUUCUAUUGUUUGAGUUUUAAAAAGAUUUUAUGUACAGUGCCCAGUUUUUGUUCUUUUUUGAUCUGAUAUAUAUAUUUUAUAUAUACUCUUGUGCUUGUGUAUAUAUAUAAUAUAUAUAGAAACUCAAAUAUAAAUAUGUGUAUAAAGAUUUAGAGACUAAAUUUUUCUCGUUUUAAGUUUUACAUCUAUGGUAGAUUUGAGGUGUCUACUGUAAAGUAUUGCUUACAAAAGUAUGAUUAUUUUUAAAGAAAUAUAUGGUAUGUAUCCUCAGACAUAGAAUGACCUUCAGACUGGUUUAUUGUUAAAUUGCACUUUUUGCAAUAACAGACCAAUAAAUAGUUGCUGCCAAAAUGUAGUAGUAGAAAAUAAGUAAUGGCUAAACUUAAAGCUCUCCAAGAAAAUACUGGCUUUGACAGGAAGUUUGGCACUAGUUUUAGGGAAGGAAUGAAAAAGAUGAAUUUGAGUUCUGGGUGGGGAUAUUCUCUAGAAUUCAACCAAAUGGCAACUUCUAUAUUACAAUAUGUUCUAUUAACAGUUUAAAACCUUAAGACUGAAUCAUCUUGGCGUCAUUGUUGACCCCGAAAAAGGACGUUGUUUUGUGGUAUUCUAUUGUAUUUUCACAUAUUUUGUAAUACGAAUUCACUGGUAAAUUUUUGAAGCACUAGGUUUAUUUAGGACAAGUUUAUAAUAUAUCAUUGUAACAGUUUGCAGUUUUAACGAUGGUAUUUAUUUUAAGUUGCUCCUUUCUCAUUAGCUUCUUGAAAAUGCAUUAAAUCUAAAUUUCAAAAUUGAUAGCUUUCUGAUUGAUCAGAGUUGACUGAUGUGGAAGGUUCUGCAUCAAACAGUUUCUCAUAAUUUCUCAUUAGUGGGGUAUGUUAGUGAUUGCAUUGUUAAAUUUUUUGUAAUCAAUGUGAAGUGUUAAAGGCACAGAGCAUGCUGAUAGUUUCUUUUGAACAAAAAGAAUCGCCUCUUACAUUGUAGCUUCAAACGAAGGGUGUUUUAAUGAAGAAUCAGUACAGCUUGUCUAAUGCUGUUACAACAGUUUAACUGUAGUUAUAACUGACUUCCUUGCUAGUUCUUACAGCAGUUGGACAAAAGGGUAUAGAGGUCGAAGAAAAUCGUAACAAAUGCUCUUGCCAGCAAAAUUACCAACUAGCAGUAAGGAAGGAGGUAUUUGCAGUUCUGUAAAGAUGUAAGUCUCAGCUCUUGAUAACAAACUCUACAAAUCAUAAUUUUUUACUUAUGUAUUUUAUGCAGUCAUAAACAUUGUAAUCUUGACAAACCAUGCUGCAACUGAAAAGCUACUCCUUUACAGUAGUCUUAAACCCAAAUAAAAGCAAGAUAACUUACCUCAA